CACUUUUCCAGGUUUGUUUCAUUCUUCUGCUUGUUCUGCUGUCAAAGCAGCGUUCUAACUCCAGACGUGUGAAACUCCGCCUGUGUCUCCAGAGAUCUCUGCUCCAUCCUGACUGCUGGUGAGGAAAAGCCUGACCGAACAUGUCCGGUGUGGAUGAAGAGGAGGACAGAUCAGAGUCUGAGGACAGAUGGUGAAGGGGGGUGAAUGUGCUCACCUCUCCCCGUUAGUCAGACGGGGCGACACGCGGCAUGGGCGUGGAACCGUGCGCGGAUCCGACGGACGGAUCCAACUCAGUCCAUCUCUUUUGGAGGUUCACGUGAGGAAAAGCGGUCUGGUCUGCGUCGGUCCAGACCCUCUGUCGGCUGCAGGGGAG